GUAGGGAAUAUUGGACAAUGGGCGAAAGCCUGAUCCAGCCAUGCCGCGUGAUAGAUGAAGGCCCUCUGGGUUGUAAAUAUCUUUUAUCUGGGAAGAAACUCCUCUAUUCUUAGAGGCCUGACGGUACCAGAGGAAUAAGCACCGGCUAACUCCGUGCCAGCAGCCGCGGUAAUACGGAGGGUGCAAGCGUUAUCCGGAUUCACUGGGUUUAAAGGGUGCGUAGGCGGGUUGAUAAGUCAGUGGUGAAAGCUCCGGGCUUAACUUGGAAACUGCCAUUGAUACUGUCAAUCUUGAAUGUCGUAGAGGUAAGCGGAAUGUUGCAUGUAGCGGUGAAAUGCUUAGAUAUGUUACAGAACACCAAUUGCGAAGGCAGCUUACUAUGCGAUAAUUGACGCUGAGGCACGAAAGCGUGGGGAGCAAACAGGAUUAGAUACCCGGGUAGUCC
rnacentral:rRNA from 1 species